rnacentral:rRNA from 1 species
UACGGAGGGUGCAAGCGUUGUCCGGAUUUAUUGGGUUUAAAGGGUGCGUAGGCGGCCGAUUAAGUCUGGGGUGAAAGCCCGUUGCUCAACAACGGAACUGCCCUGGAAACUGGUUGGCUUGAGUACAGACGAGGGUGGCGGAAUGGAUGGUGUAGCGGUGAAAUGCAUAGAUACCAUCCAGAACCCCCGAUUGCGAAGCAGCUGCCUAGACUGUAAC